UUCAGUCCCACACACAACCAUGGCGUCUACCGAGAUAGCCAGGCAAGCAGGAGAGGGUGCUCGCGCUGUCCCUCUUUCAGGCCAUGUUGGCUUUGACAGCAUGCCUGACCAACUGGUUAAUAAGUCUGUCAACCACGGCUUCUGCUUCAACAUCCUCUGUGUUGGGGAGACUGGUCUGGGGAAGUCCACCCUAAUGGAUACUUUGUUCAAUACCAAGUUUGAGGGUGAGCCCACACAGCACAACCAGCCAGGAGUUCAGCUCAAAUCUAACACCUACGAACUCCAAGAGAGCAAUGUGCGCCUCAAACUGACUGUUGUCAAUACUGUAGGCUUCGGAGACCAGAUCAACAAAGAAGACAGCUACAAGUCCAUUGUGGAAUUCAUUGAUGCCCAGUUUGAAGCCUAUCUGCAGGAGGAACUAAAAAUCAAACGCACGCUACAUAACUACCACGACACACGCAUCCAUGCCUGCCUGUACUUUAUCGCUCCCACGGGACACUCCCUCAAAUCCCUGGACUUGGUAACCAUGAAGAAACUUGAUAGCAAGGUCAACAUCAUUCCAAUCAUCGCCAAAUCGGAUGCCAUCUCUAAGAGUGAGCUGACCAAGUUCAAGAUCAAAAUCACAAGUGAGCUGGUCAGCAAUGGGGUCCAGAUAUACCAGUUUCCCACUGAUGAUGAGACGGUGGCAGAGAUCAACUCAACUAUGAAUGGCCAUUUGCCAUUCGCUGUAGUGGGGAGCACAGAGGAGGUGAAGAUCGGGAACAAGAUGGUGAAGGCACGGCAGUAUCCCUGGGGAACGGUGCAGGUGGAAAACGAGAAUCACUGUGACUUUGUGAAACUGAGAGAGAUGCUGAUAAGGGUGAACAUGGAGGACCUGCGAGAGCAGACACACACACGCCAUUAUGAGCUCUAUCGCCGUUGCAAACUGGAAGAGAUGGGCUUUAAGGAUACAGACCCUGAUAGCAAGCCCUUCAGUCUGCAGGAAACGUAUGAGGCCAAAAGAAAUGAGUUCAUGGGCGAGCUGCAGAAGAAGGAAGAGGAGAUGAGGCAGAUGUUCGUCCAGAGGGUCAAAGAGAAGGAGGCUGAGCUUAAAGAAGCAGAGAAAGAGUUGCACGAGAAGUUUGACCGUUUGAAGAAGCUUCACCAGGAUGAGAAGAAGAAACUAGAGGACAAGAAGAAAGCCUUGGAUGAUGAACUCAACAUGUUCAAACAGAAAAAGACUGCUGCGGAGCUCCUGCAGAACCAAGCCCAGCAGGCAGGGGGCUCUACCACACUCAAGAGGGACAAAGAGAGGAAAAACUGAUGUGACCCUUCCCACCCAUUAGAAAGGAAGAAGACAUUUUGCACUGAGAAGUUCAGGAUUCCUGUAGAAAAGUGCCCCUCUCCUCAGCCUGCUGUGAAUGAUUUAUCACCCCAUCAUCCCUGCAGUGCCCUCAUGCCCCCCCACCUACCUUAUUACAACCCUACACAUGUCCCUGGUCAGUGGAAGAACCCAGCCAUUACUGUCCAUGGAAUUAUUUUUUUUACAGAGACACAUUCCUCCUUUUGUUUGUUUGUGCUGACUGAUGCUUGUCUUUCGUAUGUUUUUGUACAAGCCGUUAUUCAGCCCCCCUACCUAAGGAGAGUCCUUUAGUCCCUGUUUACACCUGGCAUUAAUGUUGACAUGUGUCUUGGGUGAUCCGAUCAAAAGUGGAUAGCUCUAAGUACAGGCGAAUGCACUGAAGAUGCACUGAGGACGCAUUGAGAGCCGAUUGUUCAGGCCCCAUUCGGAGGUGGUCUGGGCCGCAUAUGGCCACAUUCUUUUAGCAGUGUGUACACAAAUAUCUUCCUGGCCACAUUCAAGGACCACCUACUCAACUGACGUCCUUUGCGUAAGAGGAGGUAUAUGUACUCAUUCGCAUGCCAAUGGCGUCGUAAUAAAGUGCAAAACAACAAAGAAUUGCACUACUUUUAAUUUCCGGCGGACUAGGCACCACGGGAAGUGCAUUGCUGCUUGCCGUUGGUUAAAAUAAACAACACAUUUCAUCUUUGCAAAAGAAAAUGAUGUAUUUAUUUGCAUAUAGAGUGGGGAAGUGAGAUCUGAUCACGGUCACUCGAGAUGCAUGUGGAGGCACAUUUUAAUGUCAGUAUCUUUAUGCAUGCUCAAUAAUCUAGGUAAGAAAAUCAAAGAGGGUUGAAUGUUUAUUGACAGAUACGUUUCAUUACUCAUUUAAGUGGCCUUUUCAGUCUAAAUUGACUGCAGGUAUCCCCACCCUUAUAAACAAUACAGUUGAUUUUAAUGCCAGGUGUGAAAUGAUGUACUUAGAGCUGUCCACUUGUGAUUGGAUCACCCAAGAUGCAUGUUAAUGCCAGGUGUAAACAGGGCCCCGGUCUCUCUUUAUCAAUGUGUUCUGUUAUUCUUUGCAUGAGCGUGCUUUUAACUUCAACCUACAUGACUACUGUUGUGAUAGGUGAUGUGUGGAGGCUAAGGUGAAACAUGCAUCAACUAGGCAGGCCCCUAUUUGCAAACCGGGUUUUGGUAAAUGGGUUAGAUUAGACAGGGAAGGAAAUAAUAAAGAUUAAAUGCGACUGAGCCGCUGUUCGUGUCGAGCUGGAUUGAAAGUAAUUGGUGCAAAUACCUUUUAUCUAGAAAAAAAACCCGAUUAGGAUUGGAGCCCAGCCUGGUCUGACAAUCCAGUGUCAUGAGACCUGAAAGAAUUGAGCUGUUGACACUGUUGGCAGAGUGAAAUACAGUGCAGCCACAAUUGAAAGGUGAAAAAAGUCCCAUAUGCUGUGUCCAGAAUUAAUUCAAUAAUUUAUUAUUUUCCUUAUUCAUUAUAACAGCUUUUUCAGAAAAAAAAUCUACUUGCAAGUAGUUAACAAAUCUACAGCCGUGUUUUAUGUUUUUAAAUGAAACAUGGUUAAUAUUACAUAGUUAUCAGUUCCGUUGUGAGAUUUUCUUUCUACAAGAUGUUUAGAUGUUAAGAAUCAGUAAAAAGAUAUCCUUUUCUAUGGCUUGAUUUUAAUGCCUACAAAUGGCUCAAAGGAGCAAUCUGAAACUAAAAUCUAGAAAAUAUUGAACUCAUGCAUCAUCAGUUUAAUGUUAAAAAGUUGAUUUUCAUUGCUGAUUUUAUAUAUUGAUAUUUAUUGAUCAGAAUAAGCACUCUUCUUGGUUGAUGUUCAUAUUAGCCUUACACAUCAGUAGACGUUAAUCUCUUCUUUUCACCUCCUCCCAUACCUUAUUCAUCGUCAUGUGCCAUGUUCAUACUUGUAUUAGCCUUCACAUUUGCACUUUUUCCUCAAAUGUGAUUUUUUUUUGUGUGUGUGUGUUUCUAGUGCAAUUGUUACUUUUUUUUCACCCUAUAUGUUUGAAGGCAUAUUUUAAGGUAUUUAACCUAGUAAUAUUCCUGCAGGGACCGAUACUGUGUUUUUUUUAUCAGUGUUACACACACACACACACACAACAACAACAACAACAAAAUAAAGGCCAAUUUUCACAAAAUAUUGCAAUUGUGGCCAUAGUCAUUGUGUUUUAUCAAUAUUGCAAUAUUCUUUAUUUGGUGCUUAAUGACUGAGACUUUUUUGUGAACAGCUGUAUUUCUUAAUAGGAAUGAUUAUUCCAGUUGGUGUCCCACAUUUGAGCCACUAUGUUUUAAAUGUCACUGCUGAUAAUCUGUUUUAACGAGUUCCUCUACUUGUUUAUUUGAAUCUUUAGAGGACUGUGGGGUUUUCAAGGGAAGUUUCUUUGAGCCUCCCUUUGCAUCUUCAAAUAUUUUGCUCAGAAGUGUUUGUUUGUACUCAAACUUUAUUCAAGUGUAUUUGUUAGUUUGACGUGUUGAAAUGGAGAACUUUGAGGAAAUCGUGGGUCCUUUCUAUAGGCUUGAAGAUUGUUCAAAAGGGUGCCGUCCUGACUGUCAACCCACAGCUAUUUUCUGAUUGUUUUGUCACUUUGGAACCACAGGAAGUGGCAGGGUGAAAAUGUACGUCAUCGGGUGUGCCAUUCCCUCCUUCCCUAAUCCCUCACUCACUGGUCUGUGUGUAUUCACUUUUCCUUUGCAGUAAUCCCUGGCUCUGCACUGAGUAGGUCCUCAACCCUCGAGCUUUGCUAAGGGACCAGCCUUUGUGGGUAUUGAGUACUGCACUUGUGACAAGAGGCUUUCUGGACCCCCGCCUUUCUGGGUUUCUUAAUCACAAUUAUCUCUGCAUUAAUAUGUGUUAACAAGAUAUAAUUUGUUUGUGUCUGUAUUUCACAGAUGCUCUAACCCUAAUGUGCUUUCUUUGCGAUAAUUGUGCUCCUUUGCGCAGUUUCUGCUUACUUGUCUACCAGUGCUGUGCGGCUGUGGCGGAUCUCAUGACUAACAAAAUCUUACUUUCUACUUUCUGAAGAAUGCGAUUUUUUUCCGUUUUUUUUUUUUCUUUUUCUAAUUUCUGAGAUGAGAUUGUAAGUGACUAUUUUUGCCUAUUUGAGAUGUCAACAGAAUAUAGACAGAAGCAGUGUCAUUUGAUAGUGUUGGAUAAACACAGAAGCUGUUGAAGUGUGUUAAUUUUUGGAUGAAAUUGAGCAGCAUCAGAAGUGAGCAACACACUGUCAUCAUGACAUGCUGUCAUCGUUUUAGGCAUACACUAGCAUUGAGUUUUUGCCAGGCGUUACAAUGAAGAAGCUUAAACCUCCUCUUGCUGUCUGAUGUCACUUGCGCUUCUCAAUCUGACUCGUGAAUGGCAAAACACAAAAAAAAAACUGAAGCACUUCUGCUUGGGCAUCUCUUCUAACCUGCAAUUUUCCCUUUCUCUUUCUCUUUCUCUUUCUCUAGCUUCUUUUAAUCUGUUUUGGCCACCUGAAGAGGGGAUUGCAGCUUCAGCAAGAACUAAGCACCCUAUACCUCUUCUUGUCUCUCUCACUGCAUAAACACUUUUAAAAAAAUUUUUUUUAAUACUCCAUCUCAUCUGAUCUGUUCAACAUGGCCUUGUGUGGACUCGCAUGGUAUUUUUGACCACCUAAUCAAGCUAAUCCAAGCACGUUGAGGAAUCCUGUGAAAUUGAAUGCUGAAUCGUCAAUUCUGUCUUUAGCAUGUAUAGAGAUGAAUGUUGUGGAAUCAACAGUUGACAAAAAGUGGAAAAUCAAAUAAAUAAAUAAAUAGAUAGAUAGAUAAAUAGGCUUCUGUGCUGCUCCAUGGUGUGCAGAAUGGAUAUUUUAUCAGCAAACAAAAUUGCAGUGUGACCUGCACAAUGCAAAGCCUUCCAUCAUUACAAAAUUUUACACGCACAGAAAAAACACACCUGAAAAAUUAAGGCUUAUUCACCUAAAAAUACAACAUUGAGAGGAAUGGUAACUCACUUUAGCAUAUAUUAUAUGGUUUAUUGUAAUCCCAGAAAAUUGAAUCAGUUCAUCUGGUCACAUCUGUGUCCCGAUGAGCUGAUUCAACAUUCUGGGCGUUCCUUACCUGGAUUAUUGAGCAUGCAUCAAUACGUUUUACUGUAAUGACAUUUAAUGUGUGUCAGUUCAGUUUGAACUGCAAUACCCAGUCUCUCUGGUGUGCAGGUAACUUUCUCAAAUCACUAACUUAUUUUUUUUUCUUUUUUAUGUCAGAAAAAUGCAUAAGCCAAAGCAAUAUUCAUAUCAAAUUCAUGUCAAAUUCCUCAUGUGGGUGCACACUUGGUUAAUAAAGUUGAUUCUGAUUCUGAUAUGAAGCAUUUAAUUGGAGAAACAAUGCCAUCUCGAGACUCGUGCUUGAAUACCAUGGAGGUCACAUUUAAUGCCCUUUACACGUUGUGCUUUAACAAACAGCAGCCUUCUUUGUAUUUUGCAUGCACUCUCCUUUAUUUGUUACUUAUGAUCAUCACUUGUGGUCAUGACUUGCCUAGUAUGUUGUUUUGUCCCUUAAUAGAUAUGUUUUUCUGGUCUAUUUCACAUCUAUCGCUGUACUAUUUAAUUGUUGCAUAUUAUUAAUGUAUAUUUGCACUGUCUUAUAAUUUCAGAACCCAUUUUGCCAAAUAUUACAAUGAGAUGGAGUUGAAUUGAACCCCAGAUAGAGAAAUACUCGUGCAUUUAUAUAAUUUAUAAGGAUAUAUUUUGUGUAUUGAAGUGGAGACUUGUUUAUGAAAUAUGAUCUUUGGACGUGACUUUCACAGUAAAAGUAUCAUUUUGGUGUCAGAAAUUGCCAUACAUUUUUCUAACAUCUGCCAUCACCUCUUGUAGUCAUAUACCCUUCCACACUACAAAUUGCUCAAUAUCUUAUUGUAGUUUGAUUCCGUUGAUGUACAUUUUCAAUAAAAAAUGGU